GUUUUUCAGGAGAGAGUUUAUCAGCAUCGUUUUUGUAUUGAACCCCAUUGGUUAUACAACUAUUGCAAUUGCUAGAUAACCACCGAAGGCGCAUCCACCCUGCCAAUCGCUCAGGUAAAAGGACUGAAAA
rnacentral:ncRNA from 1 species